UACGUAGGGUCCGAGCGUUGUCCGGAAUUAUUGGGCGUAAAGAGCUCGUAGGCGGCCUGUCGCGUCAAUUGUGAAAGCCCGGGGCUCAACCCCGGGUCUGCAGUCGAUACGGGCAGGCUAGAGUUCGGUAGGGGAGAUCGGAAUUCCUGGUGUAGCGGUGAAAUGCGCAGAUAUCAGGAGGAACACCGGUGGCGAAGGCGGAUCUCUGGGCCGACACUGACGCUGAGGAGCGAAAGCGUGGGGAGCGAACAGG
rnacentral:rRNA from 1 species